GAACGCUGGCGGCGUGCCUAACACAUGCAAGUCGAACGGAGAAUUUACGCUGAUGAAGCUUCGGCAGAUUCUUGUAAAUUCUUAGUGGCGGACGGGUGAGUAACGCGUGGGCAACCUGCCUCAUACUGGGGGAUAACAGCUGGAAACGACUGUUAAUACCGCAUAAGCGCACGGUAUCGCAUGAUACAGUGUGAAAAACUCCGGUGGUAUGAGAUGGGCCCGCGUCAGAUUAGCCAGUUGGCAGGGUAACGGCCUACCAAAGCGACGAUCUGUAGCCGGCCUGAGAGGGCGGACGGCCACAUUGGGACUGAGACACGGCCCAAACUCCUACGGGAGGCAGCAGUGGGGGAUAUUGCACAAUGGAGGAAACUCUGAUGCAGCGACGCCGCGUGAGUGAAGAAGUAUUUCGGCAUGUAAAGCUCUAUCAGCAGGGAAGAAAGACUCGUAAGAGAGAUGACGGUACCUGACUAAGAAGCCCCGGCUAACUACGUGCCAGCAGCUGC
rnacentral:rRNA from 1 species